UUUCGUUUCCUCGCUCGUUCCUUCUUCCGUGGCGCGAUGGCCUUCAGACGGAGGGGCCGCGGUUGGGUUGGGCCGCUUCGUUUGCUCUCGGGCCUCCCCCGGGGCGAGGCCCGGGGAAGCAACAGGGAUGGGUACGCAGAGGGUGUGGUUUGGACAUUGCCGGCUUGGCGCUGGAGAGCCGGGUUGGUUACCCGGCGGCCCCCACGCCUGUUCAGCUUGCUCGAAGCUGUCCUUUCUAUUAAUGAUCCUUCCGCAGGUUCACCUACGGAAA
rnacentral:misc_RNA from 1 species